AAAUUUGGAAACCCUAGCCCCUCUUUCCACACACUAGUGCCGCUACCAGCUAGUCAGCUACCCAGUCACCCUCCUCGCGAAGACGCGAACCCCCCCUUCUGCGUUCUCUCCGUCCUCUUUGCACCCAGCCAGCCACCUCCGAACACCUCCCUAGCGGCCUCACCACUGUCGUCCUCUGUCGCCAGCGUUCUUCGCCAGCUUCCGUCGUCCGUUACUCUCCCUCGAAUCUCUGCUCACUGCCUUCGCCGAAGCUUCUGUUCUCCUACCGCUCUGAUCAUGGAUAUGAUCUUCGAGCUCGGCUUUGUCUCGGCCAGCUUGCAGCUUGUUAAGAAGGAGCUAUUUGUUAUACUUGGUGCUGACGAAGAGCUGAAGAAGCUGGAAAGGACCCUGCUGAAAGUUCAGGUUCUUUUUGAUAGUGUGAAAGCAAUGCAGCACUACCCUCUCGAUUACAAGAUGCAGCAACUAUGGCUUCAUGACACUUGGUGUGUGUUACUUGAUGCUGAGGACUUAAUAGAUGAGAUUGCCUUGGAAAUCUCAAAAUUUACUCCCGAUGACCUCAGCUAUCUCAUGGGUGAUGGCAACCGGUUGAGAAACUCUGUCUUAGCUGGGCUUAAGCUUAAUAUUCCAUCCUCCAUUGUUGAUAUGAGACAGCAACUGGAGGAUAUUGAGAGGAAGGCGGCCAAUUUUAUGAAUGAGUUGUACAAAAUCAACCAGUUUCACUCUAUAAGCAAGCUGCAAUCCAGUUCCUGGUAGAUGCAUCCUGUGUAAUUGGAAGGGAAAAUGACAUGGAAAAAAUUCUAUCAUUGUUGUUAGCUAAUGACAUGAUGAAUGAAAAUUUUGCAGUCAUUGCAUUAGUGGGAAUGAUGGGAGUAGGAAAAACUACACUAGCCCAGUUUGUCUACAACAAUGAUGAUGUGGCGGACAAUUUUGAAUUAAUUUCUGGUGAUGAAGAUGCAAAAAGAAUUACAAGGUCGAUGGUUGAAGCUGUUUGCGAGAAAAACUUUGAGUAGUCUGAUAUGGAUCAAAUUCAAGUUACACUUAAAAAGGUACUCCGGAAAAAGAAAGUUUUAAUUGUACUAGUUGGCAUUUGCAAUGAAGAUGUAGUUGGCAUUUGCAAUGAAGAUGCAAAUGAUUGGGAGAUUCUUUGCUUGCCAUUCAAUGUUGCUGCUAAGGGAGCAAAAUAUUGGUGACUACAUCAAGUAUGUUUGUUUCAGAGAUGGUUGCCACAAUUUCGAUGUGUCAUGUGCACACUUUAUCUGAUCAAGACUGUUGGAGAAUAAUAGAGAAAAGAGCAUUCUCAAGCUUUAUUCUGGAUGAUUUCAAAUGUUCGGUGUUGGAGGAAAUUUGAUUUAAAAUUGUACAAAAAUGCAAUAAAUUACCAUUGAUAGCAAAGAUGUUUGGAAAUGUUUUGCGAUUUAAUCACGAUGAAAAGAAGUGGGAAGCUAUAUUGAAAAGCAAACUAUGGGAACUUCCAGCAUCUCGAAAUAUAUUUUCAGCAUUGAAAUCGAGUUAUGAUCAAUUGCUUUCUUGUUUGCAAAGAUAUUUUGAUUAUUGUUCUAUUGUUCCUCCAAAUUAUAAAUUCAGCAGAGAUGAGUUGGUCAAGUUGUGGGUAUCUGAAGGCUUCAUUCAACAAAGCGGAGUAAAAACGACACAAGAAAUUGGUGGAGAAUAUUUUGAUAUCCUGGUUCAGAGGUCAUUUUUUCAACUCUCACCAAUGGAUCACGGUAACCAUCAAGUAUUUAGAAUGCAUAAUCUCAUUCAUGAAUUUGUUGAAUUGGUUUCUGAUGGGCUGUGCAUUAGAGUGGAAGAUGGCAUGUCAUCGCCAAUUUCCAAUCUUAAAAUGUCAGACAUACAUCUUUAAUCUGUGACGAACGUUCAAAUAGAACACUUGAGCAUUUUUAGUAAAUGUGAUCGAAUGAGGACUCUUAUUUUGUUUUCUAAGAGUGGUGAUAUCCCUGUCAAGAUGAUUCCUUUGGCGAAAUCAAUUUCAGUUAUUUGAGGGUUCUAAACUUGAGUUUUUUCGAUAUCAGAGAGUUACCUGAAGCUAUUGGUACAGCAAAACACAUGCGCCAUCUUGAUGUGUCUAGCACUCCUAUUAAAGAGCUACCUGAAUCAAUUAUAAAUCUGAAUGGGAUGAAAACGCUUAAGCUCAACAACUGCAUCCACCUACUCAAAUGGCCCAAGAAUACGAAGAAUCUUGUUCUAAUCUUCAUGUUCUUGGGACAAGAUUCUUCAUGUUCUUGGGAGUGAAGAUUGGAACAAGAUUCUUCAUGUUCUUGGGCCAUUCGAGUAGGUGAAUGCAGUUGUUGAGUUUAAGCGUUUUCAUCCCAUUCAGAUUUGUAAUUGAUUCAGGUAGCUCCUUAAUAGGAGUGAUGGACACAUCAAGAUGGCGCAUGUGUUUUGCUGUACCAAUAGUUUCAGGUAACUCUCUGAUAUCGAAAAAACUCAAAUUUAGAACCAUCAAAUAACUGAAAUUGAUUUCGCCAAAGGAAUCAUCUUGACAGGGAUAUCACCACCCCUAGAAAACAAAAUAAGAGUCCUCAUUCGAUCACAUUUACUAAAAAUGCUCAAGUGUUCUAUUUGAACGUCGUCACAGAUUAAAGAUGCAUGUCUGACAUAUUUAAGAUUGGAAAUUGGCGAUGACAUGCCAUCUUCCACUCUAAUGCACAGCCUAUCAGAAACAAAUUCAGCAAAUUCAUGAAUGAGGUUAUGCAUUCUAAAUACUUGAUGGUUACCGUGAUCCAUUGGUGAGAGUUGAAAAAAUGACCUCUGAAACCAGGAUAUCAAAAUAUUCUCCACCAAUUUCUUGUGUCGUUUUUACUCCGCUUUGUUGAAUGAAGCCUUCAGAUACCCACAACUUGACCAACUCAUCUCUGCUGAAUUUAUAAUUUGGAGGAACAAUAGAACAAUAAUCAAAAUAUCUUUGCAAACAGAAGGCAACUGGUCAUAACUCGAUUUCAAUGCUGAAAGUAUAUUUCGAGAUGCUGGAAGUUUUCAUAGUUUGCUUUUCAAUAUGGUUUUCCACUUCUUUUCAUCGUGAUUAAAUCACAAAACAUUUCCAAAAAUCUUUGCUAUUAAUGGUAAUUUGUUGCAUUUUUGUGCAAUUUUGAAUCCAAUUUCCUCCAACACCGAGCGUUUGAAAUCAUCCGGAAUAAGGCUUGAGAAUGCUCUUUUCUCUAUUAUUCUCCAACAGUCUUGAUCAGAUAAAGUGUGCACAUGGUACAUAGGAAUUGUGGCAACCAUCUCUGAAACAAACAUACUUUGUGUAGAAUUGCAUUUGUGUAGCUUUCCCGUUUCUUGGCGAUCUUCUAAUGCUGAAAGAUCUUCACAUUGAAAAGAUCAGUAAAUUGGAGUACGUUGACGUGACAGAGUCUUACCUGGUUAUCAGUCUUUGCGAGCUCUUACAUUGUGUAAUAUGCAAGACUUAAGAGAAUGGAGGGCUUUGAAGGCGGGUGACAUGGCUAAACUUGAGAAAAUAGAAUUUUCUGAAUGUCCCAAGCUUAAAUGCUUACCAAGGGGACAACUACCAAGCUCGGUGAAAUGUUUAAUCAUCAGAAAUUAUAUCAAUUUAAAAGCUCGAUGUAUGGACCGUGGGAGUGAAGAUUGGAACAAGAUACAGUCAAUCCCUAAAGUUGAGAUUGACCAGGAGGAUUGUCAGCGCAACAUCUGAUAUAGGACAGAUAAAUGCCAGCCUUGUUGGGUGGAGAAUAUGCUGCAGCAAGUAACUCUCUUUAUUGGCCUAAAAUCAAUGAAAGACUCGUAGGAUUAUCAGAUGCUGUGAUGAAUAACAGUUGCCCUGUACUUAAUGAACUUGCUGAAGCAGAGAUGCUUGUCAAAGAAAGAAAAGGUUGAAGCAUUUUGGUUUGUGAUUAUCGUUGUUGCGCUAGAUGCAGGGAGCAAUUAUUGGUACUACAAGAGUACAAGGCAUGUAAAAACUGUUUCAAAAAAGUAGAUAUUGGACAAGAAUGUUAUUGAUUUUGAUUAGAUAAGUUGUGGUUACCAUGUGAAUUUCAAACUCCAUUUAAAGUAGCAUAUACUAUUUUGGUUUCUUAGUUAAAAUCUAUGGUAUGCACCAUAGGUGUAGACUUCAAUCGAUAAUAGUUUAUGGGACUGGCAAUUUACUUAAACAAUGUAUUAUUGAUGUGAGUUUUGAUAGA